rnacentral:rRNA from 1 species
UUGGAGGGCAAGUCUGGUGCCAGCAGCCGCGGUAAUUCCAGCUCCAAUAGCGUAUAUUAAAGUUGUUGCAGUUAAAAAGCUCGUAGUUGAACUUCGGGGUUCACCCAUUGGUCAGGCUUAAUUGUCUGUACUGGUGAGAUGAAUCUCUACCUUCUGAGGAACUUUCAUGCCAUUUAGUUGGUGUGAUAGGAAAUCAGGACUGUUACUUUGAAAAAAUUAGAGUGUUUAAAGCAGGCUAACGUCUGAAUACAUUAGCAUGGAAUAAUGAAAUAGGACGGAUUGGUUCUAUUUCGUUGGUUUCUAGGAUCACCGUAAUGAUUAAUAGGGAUAGUUGGGGGCAUUAGUAUUCAAUUGUCAGAGGUGAAAUUCUUGGAUUUAUUGAAGACUAACUAUUGCGAAAGCAUUUGCCAAGGAUGUUUUCAUUAAUCAAGAACGAAAGUUAGGGGAUCGAAGACGAUCAGAUACCGUCGUAGUCUUAACCAUAAACUAUGCCGACUAGGGAUCGGACGAAGUUAAUUUUAUAAUGACGCGUUCGGCGCCUUACGGGAAAC